CAUAUAAAUAAGCGGAGGAAAAGAAACCAACUGGGAUUCCCUUAGUAACGGCGAGCGAACAGGGAAGAGUCCAGCGCCGAAUUCUGCGCUCUUGCAGGGCGUCGGAAAAUGUGGCGUUUAGGAGGGAGCGUGCCGGGAGUGUGACCUUGCAGCAAGUCCCCCUGACCGGGGCGAUUUCCCAUAGCGGGUGCGAGGCCCAUAGCUGCUCGGUCUCUCUCGGAUGCGACCUCUUGGGAGUCGGGUUGCUUGGGAGUGCAACCCUAAUUGGGUGGUAAACUCCACCUAAGACUAAAUACGGCCGUGAGACCGAUAGCAAACAAGUAC
rnacentral:rRNA from 1 species